CCUACGGGUGGCAGCAGUGAGGAAUAUUGGUCAAUGGGCGCGAGCCUGAACCAGCCAAGUAGCUUGAAGGAUGACUGCCCUACGGGUUGUAACCUUCUUUUAUAAAUGACUAAAGUGAGGCACGUGUGCCUUUUUGUAUGUACUUUAUGAAUAAGGAUCGGCUAACUCCGUGCCAGCAGCCGCGGUAAUACGGAGGAUCCGAGCGUUAUCCGGCUUUAUUGGGUUUCAAGGGAGAGUAGAUGGGUUGUUAAGUCAGUUGUGACAGUUUGCGGCUCAACCGUAAAAUUGCAAUUGAUACUGGCAGCCUUGAGUACAGUUGAGGUAGGCGGAAUGCGUGGUGUAGCGGUGAAAUGCUUAGAGAUCACGAAGAACUCCGAUUGCGAAGGCAGCCUACUAAACUGCCACUGACAUUGAUGCUCGAAAGUGUGGGUAUCAAACAGGAUUAGAUACCCCUGUAGUC
rnacentral:rRNA from 1 species